AGGACGAGGAAAGUCUCCAGACUUUCAAUAUACACACAAAGGGUUAAGGCAUUGCCACCUACUUUGUGGCAUCUGACCAUCUUUU
rnacentral:ncRNA from 1 species